CGAUUAAGGGAUUGGUCUUGCUGCACCCUUGUCUUUUGCGUACCGUAUGUUUCCUCGGCGGGCUUGCCUGCCGGUUGGACAUUAUCAAACCUUUUUGUAGUUGCAAUCAGCGUCAGAAAACAAAUAAUAAUUACAACUUUCAACAACGGAUCUCUUGGUUCUGGCAUCGAUGAAGAACGCAGCGAAAUGCGAAAAGUAGUGUGAAUUGCAGAAUUCAGUGAAUCAUCGAAUCUUUGAACGCACAUUGCGCCCCUUGGUAUUCCAUGGGGCAUGCCUGUUCGAGCGUCAUUUUGUACCCUCAAGCACUGCUUGGUGUUGGGCGUUUGUCCUGCAAAGGACUCGCCUGAAAGCGAUUGGCGGCCAACGUACUGGUGGUAGAGCGCAGCACAAUUUGCGUCUCUCCCUUCUACGAUGGCGUCCAUGAAGCCUUAUUCAAACGUUUGACCUCGGAUCAGGUAGGGAUACCCGCUGAACUUAAGCAUAUCAAUAAGCGGAG
rnacentral:sRNA from 1 species